UACAGAGGGUGCGAGCGUUAAUCGGAUUUACUGGGCGUAAAGCGUGCGUAGGCGGUUCGCUAAGUCGGUUGUGAAAUCCCUGGGCUUAACCUGGGAACUGCAGUCGAUACUGGCGGACUAGAGUACGGUAGAGGGUGGCGGAACUCCGGGUGUAGCGGUGAAAUGCGUAGAUAUCCGGAAGAACACCGAUGGCGAAGGCAACCACCUGGGCCUGUACUGACGCUGAGGUACGAAAGCGUGGGGAGCAAACAGG
rnacentral:rRNA from 1 species